GUUAGGAACCCUAAGUAGAGAAUUAAGCUACUAGACUUAGAUUAGGAUUGCUUUUGGCUGGGCAUUAUAUUGUUGUUGCGAGCUUGAGAACCUAUGUUUGAGUUUACUUUGCAGGAAAGGUAGGUCUAGUUAUAGCGAAGAUUACUGGAUUUUUGAUAGGAUAAUUAAGUUAAUUAAUUAUCAAUGACUAAUAACAUGUUAGUAUUUCAACAUAGGUCAAUGCAACCAAUAGUAUUAGCAGCCUUAGCAAAUCCAAUAAUAGUAAAGGGUUAACCAAUCUGUGAGUAUAACCUACUUAAAAUGUUUUUAAUUGAAUUAUUAAAUUGCUUUGACAUAUUCCAUGCACAUCUAUACAUCAUGGUAGUUAUGUAAUGUAUCUUAAUUAUAAUUGCAUAGUUAAUUGUAUAGGUUAGCAAUGCAUAUCAUGAACAUGAUGCAUAAUUAGUUGUAGUUUCCAUUGGGAAAGGAAAGUAAAGUAAAGCAAAGAAUUUGACAUGCAUACAUUAUAAGGUCACUAUGUUUAUGCUAUGGUAUGCCUGGACAAGGCAAUUCUAUGUCUCUGGCUCUAGGGAAUCUGGGUAAGGAAAUUAUGUGUUUUCAGCCCUAUUAUUUGAUAUGAUAUGGUAAGAGGAAGUCUUGAGGAGCACUUAUAAUGGGUUGGGCAUCUUGGACAUAUGAGGAUGACUAUGAAAUGGUAGGGAAGCCAUAGGUGACAUGAAUUACCUUGAUGUGUUUGUGCUAUGAAUCAUAUGUUACUGCUGCAUAUUCACAUGCUUGCACUUAAAUGCUUUAUUAAAUGUUUUAUUUUUCUUAAGUAGGCUUUUACUUAUUGAGCCCCCAGUUCACCCCCUUUCUUUGUGUUCCCUUCAGGGAUAGGUAUAAAAGUUAUAGUCAGCGAAUUUUGCUAGAUGAUUCCCAAAGGAUAUUGCCUCGAUUUUGCUUAAAGAUAUAUGUACAUUUUGUAGAACUCCUUUUUGGGAUGACAUGUAAUUUUGUUAUUUUGCUACUGUGUUUUGCAAUUUUGUUAUUUUGCUACUGUGUUUUGCACUUGGUGUUUUGUAAUAGAAAAGAAUUUUAAUUAUAUUUUAU
rnacentral:misc_RNA from 1 species